rnacentral:rRNA from 1 species
GACGAACGCUGGCUGCGUGCUUAACACAUGCAAGUCGAACGGAAAGGCCCUGCUUUUGUGGGGUGCUCGAGUGGCGAACGGGUGAGUAACACGUGAGUAACCUGCCCUUGACUUUGGGAUAACUUCAGGAAACUGGGGCUAAUACCGGAUAGGAGCUCCUGCUGCAUGGUGGGGGUUGGAAAGUUUCGGCGGUUGGGGAUGGACUCGCGGCUUAUCAGCUUGUUGGUGGGGUAGUGGCUUACCAAGGCUUUGACGGGUAGCCGGCCUGAGAGGGUGACCGGCCACAUUGGGACUGACAUACGGCCCAUACUCCUACGGGAGGCAGCAGUGGGGAAUAUUGCACAAUGGGCGGAAGCCUGAUGCAGCAACGCCGCGUGCGGGAUGACUUCCUUUGGGUUGUAAACCGCUUUCCCCUGUGACAAAUCGCGAGUGACGGUAAUGGGCAAAGAAACACCUGCUAACUACCUGUCAUCAUUCUCGGUGAUACCUUGGGCGCGAGCGUUGUCCUGAUUUACUUGGCGUAAAAGGGCUCGCACGUGGAUGAUCUCACUCCGAAGAGUAAUCUUGGGGCUUAUUCUGAGCGUGCUUUCGAUACGGGUUGACUUGAGGAAGGUAGGGGAGAAUGGAAUUCCUGGUGGAGCGGUGGAAUGCGCAGAUAUCAGGAGGAACACCAGUGGCGAAGGCGGUUCUCUGGGCCUUUCCUGACGCUGAGGAGCGAAAGCGUGGGGAGCGAACAGGCUUAGAUACCCUGGUAGUCCACGCUGUAAACGGUGGGUACUAGGUGUGGGGUCCAUUCCACGGGUUCCGCGCCGUAGCUAACGCUUUAAGUACCCCGCCUGGGGAGUACGGCCGCAAGGCUAAAACUCAAAGGAAUUGACGGGGCCCCGCACAAGCGGCGGAGCAUGCGGAUUAAUUCGAUGCAACGCGUAGAACCUUACCUGGGUUUGACAUGGAUCGGGAGUGCUCAGAGAUGGGUGUGCCUCUUUUGGGGUCGGUUCACAGGUGGUGCAUGGCUGUCGUCAGCUCGUGUCGUGAGAUGUUGGGUUAAGUCCCGCAACGAGCGCAACCCUUGUUCACUGUUGCCAGCACGUUAUGGUGGGGACUCAGUGGAGACCGCCGGGGUCAACUCGGAGGAAGGUGGGGAUGACGUCAAGUCAUCAUGCCCCUUAUGUCCAGGGCUUCACGCAUGCUACAAUGGCUGGUACAGAGAGUGGCGAGCCUGUGAGGGUGAGCGAAUCUCGGAAAGCCGGUCUCAGUUCGGAUUGGGGUCUGCAACUCGACCUCAUGAAGUCGGAGUCGCUAGUAAUCGCAGAUCAGCAACGCUGCGGUGAAUACGUUCCCGGG